GAGGUAAUAGUAUAAUUUAGUAUGUCUCGCUUUCAAUGAGGAGGUAGAUUUACCUUA
rnacentral:tRNA from 1 species